GUGGGGAAUAUUGGACAAUGGGCGAAAGCCUGAUCCAGCCAUGCCGCGUGAGUGAUGAAGGCCCUCGGGUCGUAAAGCUCUGUGGAGGGGGAAGAAACGUUGCAGCAUCAGAUCCUGCAAAUUGACGGUACCCCUUUAGCAAGCACCGGCUAACUCCGUGCCAGCAGCCGCGGUAAUACGGAGGGUGCAAACGUUGCUCGGAAUCAUUGGGCGUAAAGCGCACGUAGGCGGACUGUUAAGUCGGAUGUGAAAUCCCUCAGCUUAACUGAGGAAGUGCAUUCGAAACUGGCAGUCUUGAGUAUGGAAGAGGGUCGCGGAAUUCCCGGUGUAGAGGUGAAAUUCGUAGAUAUCGGGAGGAACACCAGUGGCGAAGGCGGCGACCUGGGCCAAUACUGACGCUGAGGUGCGAAAGCGUGGGGAGCAAACAGGAUUAGAAACCCGUGUAGUCC
rnacentral:rRNA from 1 species